CAGAAUAUAGCUAAACUCCAUAGCAUUUCCCUUACACUGAAAAGUUGCCCGCGCAAAUCGGGUUAUUCUGA
rnacentral:tRNA from 1 species